CUCGGAGUUCAAUAUUUUUGUUUUUCUGUUUUUUUUUAAUUUUUUAUAGACAUUUAUAUCAAUUAUGAUCGAAAUUUAAACAGCUUAGUUGUCAUUAAUUUCCGUAUCAUUCAUCCCGAGUUUACGCUUAUAGUUGAAUGGUCAAAUAUUGGUAGUUUUAUACUGUGGUGAUCACAAAGGAUACAUGUUCUAACGAUUUAUAUCAAUCAUUUAUUAACUUUUAAACUUU
rnacentral:lncRNA from 1 species